rnacentral:rRNA from 1 species
ACUCCUACGGGAGGCAUCAGUGGGGAAUAUUGGACAAUGGGCGAAGGCCUGAUCCAGCCAUGCCGCGUGUGUGAAGAAGGUCUUCGGAUUGUAAAGCACUUUAAGUUGGGAGGAAGGGCAGUAAGUUAAUACCUUGCUGUUUUGACGUUACCGACAGAAUAAGCACCGGCUAACUUCGUGCCAGCAGCCGCGGUAAUAC